rnacentral:rRNA from 1 species
UAUUUAUCCGUUAUAGAGACAGUGGGCAUAGUUUUAUUUCAGGGAUCUGAUGUAAGCUACGACGAAGCAUGCAGAUGUUUCAUAUCAGACGAAGAUAGGGAUCAAGCAAUCAGAUACGUCGUAGUCUUCUUACUAGCGACUAGGGAUGGAUGGAAUCACAUUUCAGUACUUAUGAGAAUCAAAGUCUUUGGUUUGGGGGGAGUAUGGUCGCAAGACUGAAACUUAAAGGAAGUGGACGGAAGGGCACACAGGAGUGGAGCCUGCGGCUUAAUUUGACUCAACAAGAGAGAAACGACCAGGUCCAGACAUAGUAAGGAUUGACAGAUUGAUAGCUCUUUCGUGUUUCGGUGGGUGGUGGUGCAUGCCCGUCUUAGUUGGUGGAGUGAUUUGUCUGGUUAAUUCCGAUAACGAACGAGACCUUAACCUGCUAACUAGAUUCGAUCAUCUUAUGGUCGUUAUCUUCUUAGAGGGACUAUGUAACAUAAAUACAUGGAAGUUUGAGGCAAUAACAGGUCAGUGAUGCCCUUAUAUGUCCUGGGCUGCACGCGUGCUACACUGAUGCAUACAACAAGUGCCUAGCUAGACAUAGUAUGGCAAUCUGGAAUAUGCAUCGUGAUGGGGAUAGAUCUUUGCAAUUAUAGAUCUUGAACGAGGAAUUCCUAGUAAGUGCAAGUCAUCAUCGGGGGAGUAGAAAUAUGUCCCUGCCCUUGUACACACCGCCCGUCGCUCCUACCGAUACCGGGUGAUCCGGUGAACCUUUGGACCUAAUAGAAAAAUAAGUAAACCUAUCACCAGAGGAAGGAGCGGUCGG